rnacentral:lncRNA from 1 species
GGAACAGGAAGAAAUAAAGAGGGCUGAUUAAAUUCAGCAGAGACACGGAACAGAAACGACAGAAAGCUAGCAGCCGGUGUCAAAAACCAGACCCUCUCAAGGAGGGCCACUCGACCAGUCUCACCUCACUCAAGGCUGCUUCUACCCCGCUCUUCUCAUAGGCAUGAGCCGUGUUUGCGAUGGCCUGGGCAGUCUGCUCCUUUGCAAUCACAGCAUGUUCAGAAGACAAACAUCGAACGCCAUGCGAGGACGCUGCUGAAGACUCUAACAACAAUCACAGAAGGGUCACAUCUGAGGAAUACUGUUAGAACACUCUUAAGACCAGCAAGCAGGAGCGACACACAUUUCAAUAUAGUUCCAGCAAACCUCUUCAAAGCCUACGUAAAUGCCCCUAUAAAUUUUGACAAGAAACAGCUACUCUGCCAAGCAGUGGACAUGCAUACCUUUAAUCUUUAAUCCCAGCACUUGGGUGGCAGGUGGAUCUUUUUGAGUUCAAGGUCAGCCUGGUCUACACAAAGAGACCCUGUCUUGAAACAAAAAAAAAAAAC